GAUGAACGCUGGCGGCGUGCCUAAUACAUGCAAGUCGAGCGAACGGACGAGAAGCUUUCUUUUCUGAUGUUAGCGGCGGACGGGUGAGUAACACGUGGAUAACCUACCUAUAAGACUUGGAUAACUUCGGGAAACCGGAGCUAAUACCGGAUAAUAUUUUGAACCGCAUGGUUCAAAAGUGAAAGACGGUCUUGCUGUCACUUAUAGAUGGAUCCGCGCUGCAUUAGCUAGUUGGUAAGGUAACGGCUUACCAAGGCAACGAUGCAUAGCCGACCUGAGAGGGUGAUCGGCCACACUGGAACUGAGACACGGUCCAGACUCCUACGGGAGGCAGCAGUAGGGAAUCUUCCGCAAUGGGCGAAAGCCUGACGGAGCAACGCCGCGUGAGUGAUGAAGGUCUUCGGAUCGUAAAACUCUGUUAUUAGGGAAGAACAUAUGUGUAAGUAACUGUGCACAGCUUGACGGUACCUAAUCAGAAAGCCACGGCUAACUACGUG
rnacentral:rRNA from 1 species